AUGAUCAAGCUUGCAAAAGACAUCAUCAGGCCAGUAGAUCGUCAAUUCAGAACUGUGCAUUCCAAAUUAAGAUCUAGAAAGUAUGCACCAUUUAUGGAUAAUUGCAUUGGUGCAAUAGAUGGGACACACAUACAAGUUGUGGUACCAGUUGCCACUGCUACCCAGCAUAUGAAUAGACAUAAGGAGAAGAGUCAGAAUGUGAUGUGUGUGUGUGACUUUGAUAUGAGAUUCACAUUUGUCCUAGCUGGUUGGCCAGGAUCAGUGCAUGACAUGAGGGUCUUCAAUGAUGCACGAUCCAGAUUUGGUGACAAGUUUCCAAAACCUUCACCUAAUAAGUUUUAUCUUGUGGACUCAGGGUACCCAAAUAGACCGGGUUAUCUUGCACCAUACAAGGGUUUAACCUAUCAUUUCCAGGAGUACCGUGGUGGCACAAUGCCUAGAGGAAAAAAGGAAUAG
rnacentral:rRNA from 1 species